CGUUAAGUGGAAAAGGAUGUGGGAUUUCGAAGACAACCAGGAUGUUGGCUCAGAAGCAGCCAUCCAUUCAAAGAGUGCGUAAUAGCUCACUGGUCGAGAGGUCCUGCGCCGAAAAUGUCCGGGGCUGAAACGCGCCACCGAAACUAAGGAACCGAAAGGUUGGUAGAGGAGCAUUGCAUGCGGGAAGAAGCAGUACCGUAAGGAGCUGUGGACUGCAUGGAAGAGAGAAUGCCGGAAUGAGUAGCGAGAAUAAGGUGAGAAUCCUUAUGGCCGAAUAUCCAAGGUUUCCAGAGUAAAGCUGAUCUGCUCUGGGUAAGUCGGGGCCUAAGGCGAGGACGAGAGUCGUAGCCGAUGGACAACAGGUGGAGAUUCCUGUACUGCGGUAUGACAGAACUGUGGGGACACGUAAGGAAAGCGGAAGCCGGGAAUGGAAAGCCCGGUGCAAGCGGGGUACCAGUCACUUUGGCAAAUCCGGGUGGCAAUGGGAAGCCGUGAUGCGGAGCGAAAUAAAGUAGCGAAGUCCGUGAGCCAUGCGUCAAGAAAAGCCGCUAUCGUUUAUACCGUACCCGUACCGUAAACCGACACAGGUGGAUGAGGAGAGAAUCCUAAGGCCGGCGGAAGAAGCAUUGUCAAGGAACUCGGCAAAAUGGCCCCGUAACUUAGGGAUAAGGGGUGCCUGGGAAACCAGGCCGCAGAGAAUAGGCUCAAGCAACUGUUUAGCAAAAACACAGGUCUAUGCGAAACCGAAAGGUGAGGUAUAUGGGCUGACGCCUGCCCGGUGCUGGAAGGUUAAGAGGAGAGGUUAGCGCAAGCGAAGCUUUGAAUUUAAGCCCCAGUAAACGGCGGCCGUAACUAUAACGGUCCUAAGGUAGCGAAAUUCCUUGUCGGGUAAGUUCCGACCCGCACGAAAGGCGUAAUGAUUUGAGCGCUGUCUCGACAAUGCAUCCGGUGAAAUUGAAGUACCAGUGAAGAUGCUGGUUACCUGCGCCAGGACGGAAAGACCCCAUGGAGCUUUACUCCAGUCUGGUACUGGGACUCGGUAUUGCAUGUACAGGAUAGGUGGGAGGCUAGGAGAUGGUAACGCCAGUUGCCAUGGAGCCGCUGUUGGGAUACCACCCUUGCAGUAUUGGGUUUCUAACCAGCCGCCGUGACCCGGCGGUGGGACAAUGCCAGACGGGGAGUUUGACUGGGGCGGUCGCCUCCGAAAGGGUAUCGGAGGCGCCCAAAGGUUCCCUCAGAAUGGACGGAAACCAUUCGAAGAGUGCAAAGGCAGAAGGGAGCUUGACUGCGACACCGACGGGUGGAGCAGGUACGAAAGUAGGACUUAGUGAUCCGGUGGUAUAAAGUGGGAUUGCCAUCGCUCAACGGAUAAAAGCUACCCUGGGGAUAACAGGCUUAUCACUCCCAAGAGUUCACAUCGACGGAGUGGUUUGGCACCUCGAUGUCGGCUCAUCGCAUCCUGGGGCUGUAGUAGGUCCCAAGGGUUGGGCUGUUCGCCCAUUAAAGCGGUACGCGAGCUGGGUUCAGAACGUCGUGAGACAGUUCGGUCCCUAUCCGGCGUGGGCGUAGGAUAUCUGAGAGGAGCUGUCCUUAGUACGAGAGGACCGGGAUGGACGGGCCGCUGGUGCAUCGGUUAGACUGCCAAGUCUACGGCCGAGUAGCCAAGCCCGGAAGGGAUAAACGCUGAAGGCAUCUAAGCGUGAAGCCCCCCUCAAGAUGAGAUAUCCCAUAACGUAAGUUAGUAAGACCCCUUGAAGACGACGAGGUAGAUAGGCAGAAGGUGGAAGUGUGGUGACAUAUGGAGCUGAUCUGUACUAAUAGGUCGAGGGCUUAACCAA
rnacentral:rRNA from 1 species